AGCUUUUGUGUUAUAUAGGCAGAAAAACGUACAUAUAUGCCGAGAUAACACUACGCUUUUCAUAUUCGGUUUACCUUAAGAACACUCUGAUGAGAAGCCGUGCUUACCUCUGAGAUGUUACGGAAAGGGGAGAUCAUCGCCACGGCGCUUCUACUAAUUUUCGGAACCAGCCAUGCCUCUCAAGACCUCGACUGGGGUUAUGGUAACGAAGUCGAAUAUGUCGCUGGAAAAUCUUGUACGUCGAGCGCUGACUGUGAGCCAUUUAAGCUAUACUGCUGCCUGAUACAAAGUUAUCAAGAUAGACGUGGUUUUUGUAAUCAUCGUGGAGAACAAGGGGCCAAAUGCAGCAAUAAACUUGUAAGAAACGGCGAGAACAACAACUACUACGCUCCUUACCUGCACAUAUGCCCGUGUGUGCAGCCAAACUACACAUGUCACCGCAAGCAUGGUCUGCAUGAUUAUGGUUAUUGCCAACCAUACAUGAAAGUCAAGCCUGGUUGAUACUUAACAGAGAAUUUGGGGAAAUCGAGACGAAUCAUCGUGUUUUAAUGAGGGAGAAUGCCUACUCGUUAAUUUGGAGUUUCUUGUACUUGAACAAUAAAUUAAUGUAGUUUUGAUAAAAUGAAACAGUGUCAAAAAUUU
rnacentral:lncRNA from 1 species